rnacentral:rRNA from 1 species
CGACGCCGCGUGAGGGAGGAAGGCUUCGGUUGUAACUCUUUGACGAGGAAGAACACAAUGACGGUACUCGUCGAAUAAGCCCCGGCUAACUCCGUGC